GGAAUUGUGUCUGACUAAAGAGCCACUUUGAUAGAGUGAAACAUGAGGGUGAAAGCCCCUCCAACUCCU
rnacentral:tRNA from 1 species